rnacentral:lncRNA from 1 species
ACAAGGGUGGAUUUUGGAGGAGGAUUUGGUGGAGAAGAAGAAAAAGAGAAGCAUCAUCAUCUUCAUCUUCUUCUUCUUAGCUAUUGGAGCUUGGUUGAGGUAAGCUUCAAAACCCCUUUAAUGGCAUCUCUCUAGAGCUUGGAUUUUAAUCCCUAUAAAUGGAUUUAGUGGAGUUCUAGCAUGCUAAAUAGAUUAUUGGAGCUUGAAUUUGGAGCCCUAAUGGUGGAUUUUUAUCUAAUUGCAAACCUAGGGUUAAAAAUGGGGUUUUUGUAAGUAGUUGGGUUUGAUCUAUUUUGAGUGGUCAGAAACCUAAUUGUUAUGUCUCCGAACGCGUAGGAAGCGACGGUUCGUCGAUUCGUCGAGCGGGUGCGACGUUCCGGCUGAAUCAAGUGUUCGCGAGUUCGUAUUGACCUGGGGAGUCGAGGCGGCUUCCAUAAAUCGUGGGAUUGGAUCCCGAGCAUCGUAACAGAAAACCGAAGACCUAUAAUUCUCGGAUUGCGAAGCGGAGGUCGUUCGGUGGUCGCGCGUGAAUAGGGUCGAGCCGAGCGGCGUGCGCCGCGGGAGGCCGAUUGCGAGUGACAACGAGCAAUCGGAACGCUGUAAAAAGGUGGGGGGUGUCUAUCCGAAGCAAUCGGGCUUCCUUCUAUAUCCGAGUAAAAUAGUUGAUCAUAUUUCAUGUAUAUGGUUCUUAUGCAUUAUAGGAUAUAUGUAUAAUUAUAUUUCUACUUUCCUUGAAUGCAUGUCUAGUUGUGUAGUAUUAUGGACUUGACACCUAAAUCUAGAAUGCAUGAUGAUUAAGGUUGAGACAUGGGAUCCUAUAAUGUAAAGAAAACAAAGAACUUGGACUUGAUAAUGAAACUAGUGACAUGUGAACUAGUUUCAUUAUGCAUGUAGCAUUAUGAAUGGAUUGCAUGCUAGUUGAUAAUGGCAUAUUAGCAUUAUGAUGCAUGUUGGCUUUAUAGAACAUAUAUGCUAGAUGAAACAAAUGUUAACCUAUUGUUAAUUAUGGAGAUUAUGUGGCAUCUAAACCUAGUGUCGUGAACCUAGGAUAGAUCGAGUGGCAUUAAUAUAAUGUUGUUAAACAUAGGUUGACAUUAAACCUAGUGUUGUGGAACCUAGAGUUGCUUAGACCUAGGUGAGUGGCAUGGAGAUUUGAUAUGGUUGAAACACUUGACAUGGACCUAGGGAUAGGUGGAUUAUCAAGUGAUGGUUAACCUAGUUGACAGGGUAUCCUCAGUUGUCAUACGAGCGGGGUAGCUCACGAGCGGGAUAGCUCAUCGGGUGGGAUACGAGCGGGGUAGCUCCCCACCCAUUGGACUGGGAAGUGAGUCGGGCAGAGGGCGGGGCAGCCCUUCACCUGUGAGAUUUGAGCGGGGUAGCUCCUUACCUAUGAGCGGGGUAGCUCUUUACCUAUGAGCGGGGUAGCUCUUUACCUAUGAGCGGGGUAGCUCUUGACCUAUGAGUUUGAGUUAGAGUCGGGACGAAGAGCGGGGUAGCUCUUGCCCUUAGGCAUUUGAGUCAUGAGUUGGGCGAGGAGGGGGGUAGCUCUUCACCUAUAGGACUUGAGAUCUGAGUCGGGUAAGAGCGGGGUAGCUCUUUACCUAUAGUGUUAGAGUUGUGGGACGGGUGAAACAAGGGCGGGGUAGUCCUUCACCUAUGUGAUUUGAGACAAGGGCGGGGUAGCCUAGUGGAUUGGGUAAUGACAUGAAUUGCAUAAACAGAUUUGCAUUCAUACCACGAUUAGACAUAGUAUAUGUUAGAGGUUUACAUAACCAUGUUGUAUUGGCAUUCAUUACAUUGUUAAAGCAUACUAGCAUGAUAAAUGAUAUUGCAUGCAUUCCUUGCAUUUGAUGGCAUAGUAGAUAUAGUAGCAGUUUAUUUCUAUAUAUCUCUCUAUCUAUCUAUUUGUGCCAGCUUAGACCUAGUGGGAAGAUCGGCGGAGUCGGCGGCCGAACCCACUGGGAACUAUAUUUUUAUAGUUCUCACCCCGUGUGGUUUUGGGGUACAGGUACACACGUGAGCGGACCGGCAGGAGAUCGCGGUAAGGGCGUAGCGCCCUAGCUAGCUAGUAGAGCUUUCCUAUUGUACUAGAGCACCCUCGUGUGCAUGGUUAUAGAUGACAUGAUGUAUUUUGGAUAGCUAGCAUUAUGUAUAUGUGAUAUGAUUAUGUAUUCAUUUUGGAAGCUUAAAUGUAAUCAAGUUGUAUUAAAGGUAGAAUGGAUGUAAAUGUUGAAUGUCAAAUGUGAUGUAAUGGAUAGUUAUAUCUCUCUUUUAUUCACUUGUUUAUACUUGUGAUGCUUGCUCUUGUAAUGUUCGGCACUGGUUGUGCCCUCGCUAUUGUUUUGAUCAUGUAUGUAUUCAAGUUGAUUUCCUGGGAACUUGUUGUACAUGAUCCUGUUGUUUAGCCUUGGGCGGACAGGGGAGGUGCUGUCCGUUCGGCGUCUGUUCGAUG